CGCAGACAAAUCAGGACCGUUAAAAGUAACGCGUCCAAAUAUCUCAGUGUCCCAUCUUUGUCCCCUUGCCUCUCACUUGCCCCCUCAUCCUCCCGACAACGUCAUAAUUCCAAUCUCCCUCCCCUUUAACCCUAAUUUCAAUGCACGUCUCAAUAUAUAAACUUAUCUCUCUCCCUCCCCAUUUCUCAAAACCCAAGAAAAAAACUCCAUAGCAUUUCAAGAAUCUUAUCACAAACCCAUCAAGAAGAAGAAAUAUAAGCUACAGAAGAGAUUGUAAGUUUGAAAUAAGAAGUAACAAGCGUCCGAGUGAGAGUAUGGCGUAUGAAGAAGUCAUCAAUGAGCUUAACCUUAAGGACACAGAGCUUCGUUUGGGAUUGCCCGGAACAGAUGAACAAGCAGAGGUUUCUUGCGUCAAAAGCAACAAACGUCAGUUUCAUCAAAGCAACGACGAGCACAAUCUAAAAGAAGAAUAUCCAUCUCCUCCUGCCAAGUAAGUUGAGAUCUGAAGUUCUAUUUUAUAAAUAUCAUUCACUAGAGAUGUACUAACGAUGAAUCUUUGUUUGCAAACUUCAGAACACAAAUCAUUGGCUGGCCACCAGUGAGAUCGAACCGGAAGAACAACAAAAGUGUGAGUUAUGUGAAAGUGAGUAUGGACGGAGCUCCAUAUCUGCGUAAGGUAGAUCUCAAGAUGUACAAAAACUAUCAUGAGUUUCUAAAAGCACUAGAGAACAUGUUCAAGUUCACAAUUGGUGAAUAUUCUGAGAGAGAAGGAUACAAAGGAUCUGGAUUUGUACCAACUUAUGAAGACAAAGAUGGAGAUUGGAUGUUGGUGGGUGAUGUUCCAUGGGACAUGUUCUCUUUAUCUUGCCAAAAACUCAGAAUCAUGAAACCAUCCGAAGCUCUUGCCUUUUGAUCCUCU
rnacentral:lncRNA from 1 species